CUUCUCGUUUGUUUUUUUUUUUCCAAAUUUUAGGAGCAGCAACUACAUGCUAUGUGGCACUGCAUCCGAACCUCAGGAGUGUGACUGGAAAGUACUUCGACGAAGAACUAUCAAGAAGGCUUUGGGAUUUAA